rnacentral:rRNA from 1 species
UGCCAGCCGCCGCGGUAAUACGGAGGGUGCAAACGUUGCUCGGAAUCACUGGGCGUAAAGCGCGCGUAGGCGGUCUUUUAAGUCGUGUGUGAAAGCCCGAGGCUUAACCUCGGAAGUGCGCUCGAUACUGGAAGACUAGAAUACGGGAGAGGGUAGCGGAAUUCCGGGUGUAGAGGUGAAAUUCGUAGAUAUCCGGAGGAACACCAGUGGCGAAGGCGGCUAUCUGGACCGAUAUUGACGCUGAGGCGCGAAAGCGUGGGUAGCAAACAGGAUUAGAUA